rfam:Clostridium cadaveris strain NLAE-zl-G419 genome assembly, contig: Ga0070261_105
CUGUGAGGUAGAGGCGCGAAAUCUAACAGUCUUUAGCAGAGCUAGAGAGAGCUAUGAAGCUAUAGAGAAGGGGAUUUUGCCGAAGUUUGUAAUAUAUCUCAGUAUUACUUGCUGGGUCUACAGUUAAGAACUGUAGGACUGUCUUAAUAAGCUACCCGGUUUAUUAAGUUGCGCUAUCUCAAAU